UGAACGCUGGCGGCGUGCUUACCACAUGCAAGUCGCACGGGAAACCUUUUAAUGAAGCUUCGGCAGAUUUAGCUGGUUUCUAGUGGCGGACGGGUGAGUAACGCGUGGGUAACCUGCCUUAUACAGGGGGAUAACAGUCAGAAAUGACUGCUAAUACCGCAUAAGCGCACAGGACCGCAUGGUCCGGUGUGAAAAACUCCGGUGGUAUAAGAUGGACCCGCGUUGGAUUAGCUUGUUGGUGGGGUAACGGCUCACCAAGGCGACGAUCCAUAGCCGGCCUGAGAGGGUGAACGGCCACAUUGGGACUGAGACACGGCCCAGACUCCUACGGGAGGCAGCAGUGGGGAAUAUUGCACAAUGGGGGAAACCCUGAUGCAGCGACGCCGCGUGAAGGAAGAAGUAUCUCGGUAUGUAAACUUCUAUCAGCAGGGAAGAUAGUGACGGUACCUGACUAAGAAGCCCCGGCUAACUACGUG
rnacentral:rRNA from 1 species